GCGUGAAUGAAGAAGGCCUUAGGGUUGUAAAGUUCUUUCACCUGUGACGAUAAUGACGGUAACAGGAGAAGAAGCCCCGGCUAACUCCGUGCCAGCAGCCGCGGUAAGACGGAGGGGGCUAGCGUUGUUCGGAAUGACUGGGCGUAAAGGGCGCGUAGGCGGCCGAUCAAGUCAGGCGUGAAAGCCUCAGGCUUAACCUGAGAACUGCGCUUGAUACUGGUUGGCUAGAGAACGAGAGAGGAAAGCGGAAUUCCGAGUGUAGAGGUGAAAUUCGU
rnacentral:rRNA from 1 species